GUGAAUGCUGGCGGUAGGCCUAACACAUGCAAGUCGAACGGCAGCACAGUAAGAGCUUGCUCUUACGGGUGGCGAGUGGCGGACGGGUGAGGAAUACAUCGGAAUCUACUUUUUCGUGGGGGAUAACGUAGGGAAACUUACGCUAAUACCGCAUACGACCUACGGGUGAAAGCAGGGGAUCUUCGGACCUUGCGCGAUUGAAUGAGCCGAUGUCGGACUAGCUAGUUGGCGGGGUAAAGGCCCACCAAGGCGACGAUCCGUAGCUGGUCUGAGAGGAUGAUCAGCCACACUGGAACUGAGACACGGUCCAGACUCCUACGGGAGGCAGCAGUGGGGAAUAUUGGACAAUGGGCGCAAGCCUGAUCCAGCCAUACCGCGUGGGUGAAGAAGGCCUUCGGGUUGUAAAGCCCUUUUGUUGGGAAAGAAAAGCAGCAGGUUAAUACCCCGCUGUUCUGACGGUACCCAAAGAAUAAGCACCGGCUAACUUCGUG
rnacentral:rRNA from 1 species